AAAAAAAAAUAAUAAUAAUAAUAAAAAUAUUGUAAGCAAUUUUUUGAAAAAAAAUAAAAAUAAUAAAAAUAUUGCAAGCAUGAUUUUUUUUUAAAAAAAAAGUAAUAAUGAAAAUGUCGUAAACAUGAUUUUUUUUAAAAAAAAGUAAUAAUAAAAAUAUUGUAAGCAUGAUUUUUUAAAAAAAUAUAUAAAAAGCAUAUGAAUAAUAGUAU
rnacentral:lncRNA from 1 species